rnacentral:rRNA from 1 species
UACAGAGGGGGCGAGCGUUAUUCGGAAUUAUUGGGCGUAAAGGGCGCGUAGGCGGCCUUUCAAGUGACGGGUGAAAUCCCUCGGCUUAACCGAGGAACUGCCUGUCAGACUGGAAGGCUUGAGACCGGGAGAGGUGAGUGGAAUUCCCAGUGUAGCGGUGAAAUGCGUAGAUAUUGGGAGGAACACCAGUGGCGAAGGCGGCUCACUGGACCGGUACUGACGCUGAGGCACGAAAGCGUGGGGAGCAAACAGG